UGAGUUUUGCCUUGGCUUCCUUGUGUC
rnacentral:piRNA from 1 species